rnacentral:rRNA from 1 species
CUAGUUAUAAAAGAAUCAGAGGAUGCCUUCAAGUGGUUGUUUAGUACUUUUCUCAAAGCUGUCGAAGAUAAGCAUCCAGUUGGAAUUCUCACAGACCAGAACAGGGCCAUGGAACUUGCCAUCAAAGCUGGAUUCCCUAACACAAUCCAUAGGUGGUGCAAAUGGCACAUUUUUUACAAAGCCAAAGAACAUAUCGGUCCUACUCUUUACAGCAAGACAUCUGAUUUCAAAGACAAGUUCCAUAGAGUUCUUAAUCAUACAAGAACCAUAGAUGAGUUUGAAAGUGCUUGGAACUCACUUAUUGCUGAGUAUGAUCUCCAUAGCAACACCUGGCUACAAGAUGUGUGGGAUAAACGUGAUCGCUGAGCGCCACCAUACUUCAAAGAUUAUUUCUUCGCAAAGAUGACGACAACGCAAUGCAGCGAGUGCAUGAAUCAUGUGCUCAAAGCCUACGUUUCACCAUCAUCAACCAUGCAUAACUUUGUUAAACAAUAUGAUAAAUUUAUUGCGGAUAGGAUUGCGGCUGAGGACAAACUUGAGUUCAACACUUUGAAGGAUGCAAGGCAACCGAGAUGUGGUUCGCCAAUAGAGAGGAAAGCUGCUAAAGUUUACACAGACACCAUGUUUUCUAAGUUCAGCGACCAGGUAUACAUGAGUGCAUCUUACUUUGUCCAAGAAAUCAGAGAUGAUCACAUAAAAACUGUUCACAUGGAAUGUGAUACGAGGGAAAACUGGAGUAAGUUGGAGUUUCCAGUUCAUGUAAAUAAAGAUGAAGAGGAAUACAGAUGUAUUUGUAGAUUGUUUGAACACAUGGGCAUAUUAUGCUCACACAUAAUCAUGGUAUGA